GAGUUUGAUCCUGGCUCAGGACGAACGCUGGCUGCGUGCUUAACACAUGCAAGUCGAACGCUGAAGCCUGGUGCUUGCACCGGGUGGAUGAGUGGCGAACGGGUGAGUAACACGUGAGUAACCUGCCCCUGACUUCGGGAUAAGCCCGGGAAACUGGGUCUAAUACCGGAUACGACUGCCGGACGCAUGUCUGGUGGUGGAAAGUUUUUUCGAUUGGGGAUGGGCUCGCGGCCUAUCAGUUUGUUGGUGAGGUAAUGGCUCACCAAGACGACGACGGGUAGCCGGCCUGAGAGGGCGACCGGCCACACUGGGACUGAGACACGGCCCAGACUCCUACGGGAGGCAGCAGUGGGGAAUAUUGCACAAUGGGGGAAACCCUGAUGCAGCGACGCAGCGUGCGGGAUGACGGCCUUCGGGUUGUAAACCGCUUUCAGCAGGGAAGAAGCGCAAGUGACGGUACCUGCAGAAGAAGUACCGGCUAACUACGUGCCAGCAGCCGCGGUAAUACGUAGGGUACGAGCGUUGUCCGGAAUUAUUGGGCGUAAAGAGCUCGUAGGUGGUUGGUCACGUCUGCUGUGGAA
rnacentral:rRNA from 1 species